AAAAUAAUAUAUACACAUAUGAUUUCUCAACAUAAGCCUGCCCCUGUGUUUCAGACGAAGGUGUUGGAGGGUGAGCCGGCAUUUGCAAACGUGCAGGACGAUGAUGAUGAUGAAGAUGCCCUUACCACAGAGGAGGAGCUGUGCUUAAGGCAGGACACGAUGGAGUUUUUCGUCCAGCAGCUGAAGGUCUUAAGAGAAUCUGUGGUCUCUUCUCAGACCAAGAUGCAGGAGGAUUUAAAAGCCUCCAGCGAGGCCACAGAAACUAUCCUGAAGGAGGAGCUGAAUCAUUAUACUGAGAGGCUAGAAGCAUGGGUCCAAACUGAUCUCCAGGUGCUGGAUGAACAUUUUAAAGCAGCUGGACAUAGGGUGGAGGAAAUGGUAAAGGCCAUGGCGGAAUCAGUGACCAAGAGGAUGAACGAAAUGGACAAGAAACUGGACGGACUGGCUUCAAGGAUCACAGCAAUGGAAAUGGAGGUCUGCAGUAUGGUGGCUUCAACCUCAUUUGCAGAGAACACACCUCUUCCUGUGCUUACGGCAGACCGUGGUGUUGACCAGCCUUCAGAAGAAGCUGAAGCACUGUCUUCCACUCAGGUGCCAGAUGAGGGGAGCAUCACAGAGAUCUCUGUGGACAUUGAGAGUCUGCCUCCUCUAUCUCCAAUCGGGCCAAGUCAGGGAGCAGUGUUGACCACGUCAAGGUACGUUGAGACCAUCACUGACCAGCUGUUAGAAGAAGCUGAAGCACUGUCUUCCACUCAGGUGCCAGAUGAGGGGGGCGUCACAGAGAUCUCUGUGGACCUUCUGAGUCUGCCUGGUUCCUCAGGACAUCAGAAACGACCCAUUUUGCACAAACGUAAGCUGGCCCAGUCCUUAAAGGACCUUGAAACUGAACUAGUUGACAAACUGAGGCCCUACACAAGUCAGAAGUUUACUAAGCAGGAGAAACUGACAGGACUCCAAGCUGCGUACUUCGAUCUUCAAAUGGACCGUCUGAAAAUCACUGGUAUGUUUACAUUUUC
rnacentral:lncRNA from 1 species